ACUACUGCUGUUGGAGUGAUAAAAUUUCUCUCUUCAUUUAAUUUAUUCUGUUACUGAUAUUAAAUAGACAACAGUCUGUAAGGAUAUUCGCUUGAUUGACAAGGGCAAGAUUACAAAUUAAUACUACAAUACAUGGGGACCUAUGAAAAAUACGUGCAAAAUUGUAAUUAAGGAACCCCGAGGGAAAGAGUGCACUUAGGAGACAUAGAUACAGAUGAGAGGAUGGUGAUGCUGCUGAUGAUGAUAAUGAUGAUUGAUAAUAAAAUGAGCCGUAAAGAGAGUCGAAGGGUGUGAUUUAGAUUAAUGUGGUUCAGUGGGAUAUCUUACACCAGUGACCUCUUGUGAACAUGGUAUACCUAUUUAUUGACUGGCUGAGUGAGUUUUCCUGAAAAACUCUGAUCCAUGGAGAAAGCAAAAAGGAUUUAUGGAUGAUGUUAGGAUAGUAUUGUUCAGCAGAUUACGUCUGGGAAAUGGCAACUGUGUAAAACAACUUAAGCAGGAUUUUAGUAUGUGUACAUUGCCAUUCUCAACAAACACCAGUUUUAUAUAAAAUCAGGGUUUCAAAUAUAUAUACAUAUGGAUGAUGCAUAAAGGGAAAAUUAUAUUUUGAGAUAUGUACAUUAUAUAAGUGAAACUAAAUUUGUUGUACUUAAAAAACAGAAAAAAUGUAAAAAUUACAAUUGUACAUGUUAAUAUUUUACAUAUAUAACCAAUUUUACUGUUACUUAAGUUUGAACACAGAUAUUCCACUUACAGUGCUGCUUACAAACACACAGUACAAAGAAUGCACACAUUAUGUAUGAAUCAUGUUUACAUCACUUGAAGCAUUUAAUAAUUAAAUAUCAAAUGUUUCUAAUUAUUACUCUCUUAUAAAUAAACGAUAUGAUGAUGAAUUUUAAU